rnacentral:tmRNA from 1 species
GGGGCCGACUGGUUUUGACAGCAAGUGGAAUUAAAUAGUAAGCACGUCGAGCGUUGUAAUGUAGCUCGUAAAUAUCAUGUUGCAACACUUUUACACGGCGAAAAUAACUACGCUCUAGCUGCAUAAUCUGAAUUAUAGUAAGAUUAGCCUUGUUCCUAUCAGAUAGGAAAGCAAGAUUCUCCUUGAAAGCCUUGGUUUGUGGCGUUCUUUAAAGGGGAACCGUAAAAAUAGACCUAGAGAUGGUUACGCUUCGGAGCCAUUUUGACAACUAAGAAGAUAAGGAUCAUGUGGCUGUUUCUGGCCGAGCAUGAUUACGAAAAUUCAAUCGGAAAAUAAGCGUGUAGAAAGCUUUUUGAUUGCUUGUUUGGACCCGGGUUCGAUUCCCGGCGGCUCCACAA